ACGGAGAGAAGUGUGACGCAGGAUAGUGAUGUUGUUUAUAGGUCUGCCUAUUGACUGGUGAGGUCCUCGUAAUUCCUGAUGAUGGAGGUGAAGAGCCCAAGGAAAUGGAAUUGAAGGAGAGAAUUUCGGCCUUGCGAGACACCAUCCAGUACCAGAGAGAGCAGCAGGUGAACUUGGACAGGAUAAUUUUUGAGCUGCAACAGAGGCUUGACUACAAUGAAGAGAUUCAGGCGGCGGGCGGAAAGGAAGAAAGCACACGUGUGAUGCAGAUAACUGAGGAGGUGUUGCAAGAACAGGCCUGGCAAGAAAGGGCCCACUUAUUCGAAGGUGAGACGUUGUUUGUGAAGGAGAAGGAUCAAGUGAAGAUGGAAAAACAGCAGCUGGAAGACAAGAUUGUCAAGACACAGAAGAAAAUGAGCAGUUGAUGGAUUACACAAAGAUGCCCUAUGUGAGAGGAUAAGGGAACCGACAGUGCAAUUGCCAGAGGCAAACUGGCAGGUUGAGAGGCAAGAGAAACUGCUACGACAGAAGGAGAAGGACCUGCAGAUAUAGAGCGAAGAAGCGGCGCGGAUGGCGAGGCUCGUCCAGGAACGAAAAGACGCGACCGAAAAGCGCUAAUCGGACAGGAAAGACGCCGAGGUCAGGUUCGAGCUCCUGCAGAAGAAAGUGGAAGACCUUAGGAAGGAAAGGUGUGGACUCUAUUGUGAAGUUGAGGUUGCAAAACUGAAGAGAAAGGAGCUGAGGUGCCUCCUAGAGGAAGGAAAUCAUGGCUUCAAGUGGCUGGAUAGGAAGAGCGGUGUUCAGGGCGAACGGAACGACCAGUUGGAAGAUGAGGUUGGAGAGGUGCGAGGAGCGAAGGAGAAUUGGUUUGCCAGGUGAAGAAGCUGCCUGGGAAUUAGAGAUGCGUGGAGAAGGAAGAGUGGAAAAUGAAGGAGCAGCUGUCCAUGUUCAAGGAAUGGAGCGACCAAGUCUAAGCUGGCCUUGUGAAGAGGGAUCAGAUGUGAAAAAUUUGAGGAGGAUGUUUGUUGUAUGGAAAGUUUUUUUUUUUUAUUGAAAUCAAUAAAGUUUAUCUAGAAA